GCUGCCACAAGAGGCACUGCAAGUGUGGCUUCUGUGUCACAUGUGCCUUAGUGAGUGGCAAAGAGGAGAGAAGCUAUAUCUAUGCUCAAUAUUCAACAGAUGAACAUUUGAUUGAGUGGUAGCCUACCAUU